AGGGACAGCAGUAGCCACGGUAACACGUAGGUGGCAAGCGUUGUCCGGAAUUACUGGGCGUAAAGCGUGCGUAGGCGGUUUGUUAAGUCUGUUGUGAAAUCCCCGGGCUCAACCUGGGAAUGGCAGUGGAUACUGGCUCGCUAGAGUGUGUCAGAGGAUGGUGGAAUUCCCGGUGUAGCGGUGAAAUGCGUAGAGAUCGGGAGGAACAUCAGUGGCGAAGGCGGCCAUCUGGGACAACACUGACGCUGAGGCACGAAAGCGUGGGGAGCAAACAGGAUUAGAUACCCGCGUAGUCCCUGUCUCUUAUAC
rnacentral:rRNA from 1 species